AUUAAGGUGGCUGAAUUUAGGUGAUAAAUUGUAAAUUUAUUUAUGGGUUUCCUCUUAAUA
rnacentral:tRNA from 1 species